rnacentral:rRNA from 1 species
AGUGAACGCUGGCGGCAGGCCUAACACAUGCAAGUCGAGCGGCAGCGCGGGGGCAACCCUGGCGGCGAGCGGCUUACGGGUGAGGUAUUCGUCGGAAUCUUCCUUUUUGUGUGGGAUAACUUAGGGAUACUUACGCUAAUACCCCAUACGUCCUACGUGAGAAAGUGGGGGACCUCAAUACCUCACGCAGAAAGAUGUUCCGACGACCGAUUAGCUAGUUGGUGGGGUAACGGCCCACCAAGGCGACGAUCGGUAGCUGGUCUGAGAGGAUGAUCAGCCAAACUGGGAGAGAGACACGGCCGAGACAUCGAAGGGAGGCAGCAGUGGAGAAUAUUAGAGAAGGGGCGAAAGGGUGAUACAGCAAUGCCGAGUGUGUGAAGAAGGCGUGAGGGUUGGAAAGCAAUUAUGUAAGGAAAGAAAUAAAGGGAGCUAAUAUCGGAGGAGGAUGACGGUACCGGAAGAAUAAGCACCGGCUAAAUUCGUG